GUUUUGUCACACACUGAAGCUCGGUGUGAGAACAAGCUACCAGCAUUUUUAAAUGAUAAAUUAAUCUUCUCUGCACCGUCAGUUCAAACAACAAAAGCAGAAUAAUAAUAAUAAUUAUAAUAAUAAUUGAUGAGUGAUAGCAAGUUUUGUCCUAGUAAGCAACUUGCAAGGUGUUAAAAGACUAUUUGCAGAUUCAAAAACUGUUUUUUGUAAAUUGGAUAAUUGAAUCUGUUUUUAGACAUAU
rnacentral:misc_RNA from 1 species